CGAGGACGAACGCUGGCGGCGUGCCUAACACAUGCAAGUCGAACGGGGCUAUUAUGGAUUUCCUUCGGGGAAUGAAGUUUUAGCUUAGUGGCAAACGGGUGAGUAACGCGUGAGGAACCUGCCUUUCAGUGGGGGACAACAGUUGGAAACGACUGCUAAUACCGCAUAACAUACACGGACCGCAUGAUCUGUGUAUCAAAGCUUUAUGUGCUGAAAGAUGGCCUCGUGUCUGAUUAGAUAGUUGGUGGGGUAACGGCCUACCAAGUCGACGAUCAGUAGCCGGUCUGAGAGGAUGAACGGCCACAUUGGGACUGAGAUACGGCCCAGACUCCUACGGGAGGCAGCAGUGGGGAAUAUUGGGCAAUGGGGGAAACCCUGACCCAGCAACGCCGCGUGAAGGAAGAAGGCCUUCGGGUUGUAAACUUCUUUUACCAGGGACGAAGGACGUGACGGUACCUGGAGAAAAAGCAACGGCUAACUACGUG
rnacentral:rRNA from 1 species